AUCAUCGUAGCUCAAUAGGAAGAGCAUUCGUUUCCUAAACGAAAGGCUGCAGGUUCAAGCCCUGCCGGGGAUG
rnacentral:tRNA from 1 species